rnacentral:rRNA from 1 species
GUAAGGAAUAUUGGACAAUGGGCGCAAGCCUGAUCCAGCCAUGCCGCGUGAAGGAUGAAGGCCCUAUGGGUCGUAAACUUCUUUUAUACGGGACAAAACCCCUCCUCGUGAGGAGGGUUGAUGGUACUGUAAGAAUAAGGGUCGGCUAACUUCGUGCCAGCAGCCGCGGUAAUACGAAGGACCCGAGCGUUAUCCGGAUUUAUUGGGUUUAAAGGGUGCGUAGGCGGAUUAGUAAGUCAGUGGUGAAAGCCCGUCGCUUAACGGCGGAACUGCCAUUGAUACUGCUAGUCUUGAGUAUGGUUGAGGUGGGCGGAAUGUGUCAUGUAGCGGUGAAAUGCUUAGAUAUGACACAGAACACCAAUUGCGAAGGCAGCUCGCUAAGCCAUAACUGACGCUGAGGCACGAAAGCGUGGGGAGCAAACAGGAUUAGAUACCCGAGUAGUCC